rnacentral:lncRNA from 1 species
AGUCGAGUUCAGUUUGUGUUAAUGAGCAUGAUGAUCUGUGAACUGGGCUAGCUGAGGAGCUGGCUGUUCUGCUGCUGCUGCUGCUGCUGCUGGGGAAGGAGCAGCCACUGGCAGGACUGGAGCUGGGCAGCUUUGGAACUUUACUGAGACAGACUUGGACUGCAACCCAGGAAUGAAAGCUGUGGCUUGGAUCUACAUCUGUAUGUACCCAGGAGAAGGACUGAACCUUGUGCAUCUGAGCAACUUCAGUGAGUAUGGAUGUUAAUGAAAGACCACCGCCUUCUCUUCCUCCAAAGACUGACUCCUUUAUUCAGAGGGAGAUAAUGACAGAGAAGAUCAUGGCUGGGUCAUCUAUACCACCCUGUCUUCCUUCUAAAGCCAAUACGAACCUUCAUUUGCUCAUCUGGCUCCCUGAGGACAAGUGGGAUCCAGCUUCAAUGUAGACGUCUAAAGAAAAGGAUGAUAGGAAAUGCUCCUUCACAGCAUAUGGUCAGCCACUGAGGAUACUUAAGCUUACCUGAGGCAGACAGAGUGAGUUAUGUUUCCCACUAAAUAGGGGAGAUUGAUUUAGUAAUGACAAAAGCUGACUGGAAUUCCUAUA